rnacentral:lncRNA from 1 species
GACGUCAGCGCCCACCCCUCCUCAGGCAGCUCCCAUCACCCUCCUGCUAAAGUUUCCGCCGCCUUUUAUUCCUCUCCAGCCCGCCCUCAUCCUGGCGAAGAGCUCCCUUUAGACACCCGGAUAGUUGCCCCCGCCGGCAUUAACCAACGGGCACACGAAGCUCUUGAUUUUCGUUGCGCGCCAGCCUCUGGCGGCGCCCGCAGAGCCCGGACGGAAAGGGCCGCCGGGGAUGGGGAGGAGGGACGGCUCCCCRCGCCUCGCACCUCUCCGGCAGCGGGCGCCGGCUUGGCAGCGCUCCCGUCCUCCUGCCCUUCUCCCCCGCGGGGCACCGGCGCGCACCAGGCUCGGCCCCGCCGGAGGGGGUGGGGGGUUGAGGAUGGGGAGCCCGCGGGCGCCUUCACUGAGGCCACCGACCCCAUCGAGCUGCCCUCCUCCCCGGGCGUCCCCGGCUGGSUCCGAGCCGCCAUCCCGGCCCCCAAGCAGCCCACGAGGGACGGCUCCGGGAUAACUCUUAAAACCCCCCCUUGGCCGGAUGCCUUCCCCCCCCCCCGCAGGCCCCCGGUCCGGACCCCGCACCGGUCCGCUUCCUCCUCUGCCCUCUCCUCGCACUGGCCACCGAGAGCAGACCCGGCUGGGAGCGAUGGCGAAGCAAGGACCCACCGGGCUGGCGAAAUCCUGAAAACAAAGAAAACGAGCCAGACCAGCACUCGGUCAUGGGGCAGAGGGAACGGCCUUUCCACCUGGGAGAUACCACCGACACACACGGACGUGGCCGUGUUUCCAAGCAGAAAAAAGGGCCGGGCCGGGCCGGGUCGGCGCACCUCCCCGCGUGCUGCCUGUGAACCCGCCGGGACGUGGGGACAGAUGACGAGAUCCGUGAAAUUGCUACUGCCAGGGAGGGAAAUGAAAAUUAACCUUGUGCCCAUCAGCUGCCUCGGCGGCACCCUUUCCGAGCCAGCCUUGACCAUCGCCCCCCUCGCCGGGAGAGGCUUUCCGCYCCGCGCGCCUGCCAUUCAGCCCGUGAUGUCUGACACGCCGCAGCCCCGUGUUAGCGCAUAAUAAACUCCGCCGUGUUAACAGAUUGCUUUAAAUCCAGCACUUUCUUUCCGAUUCUCAUUUGCUUUGCCUUUCACACUGCUUUCUCGUGUAUAAAAGGGGAACUGGGGGGAAAAAGAAAGAAAAGAGAAAGACACAUGAGCACCUGAAAAUCUUUUUCAUAUACCUGCUGCUGCUACCACUCGGUGCCGAAUCUGAAUAGAAAUGGAUGGGAGGGAGAUGGGGAAGGAUGAAUAACAUUUCAUGCCCUGUAGUCAAACAUAAUUUCAGGCAGGAAACGAGCAGGGACUGGUAAGAUGGCUCAUCCUGUUAGACAGCUAAUGUGCACUUCAGAACCCRCUCUUUGAAGACCAGGGUCUAAUUUCCAGUGUGCAAUUACAACACUGGUAAUAACGGUUCAGAAAAUGGGGUCACCUUCUGG